rnacentral:lncRNA from 1 species
CGGAAAUGAUGGUCAUUGAAUCUAUUCACUGUGAAUCUAUUUAUUUGUUUAUUUACUUUUUAUAAUUUUAAUUUUGGUUCAUUUUAAUGAAUGAUUUUUUUUAUUCAUUAUCUUUAAGUAGGCAGCAUGCUGGUGCUUCAUUGCGAACAUCAGAUUCUGUCCUGGCUCAUCAUGAGGAGAACGGAGGAAAGCUGCGGGCCGUGAGCGUGAUCAGUUUACAGUGGGCCACUCGCAGACGCCAGCACAGUGGCAGCGGCCGCGCUCUAAUGAGAGCUGACAGACGUGACAGAAAGAAAAUGUCACAGCAGAGCUGUGAAAAUAAACCGCUGCACAUGAGAAACCUAAGCUCUGAGCACCUGCUUUCUGACUCAGGUACAUUUAAUCACCUUUAAUCCCAUUAUGUUCCUGACCAAAGACUGAAACCUGGGGAUC